rnacentral:lncRNA from 1 species
AAGAUUUUCUUUGGUGGAGAGAGUAUUGUCAGAACUCGAGUUCCGCUGUUUCCGCCGCACAAAGUGGUAAUUCACCUGUUUGCAUCUCACCUUCUCAUAGCCCAUGGAUUCUCGAUUCUGGUGCAUCUGAUCACAUUACUGGUAAUAAGACUCUUUUCUCCUCUCUCACAACAUCUGGUUAUUUACCUAGGAUAGUUUCAGCCAAUGGUUCCCAAACACAGUCUCAAGGGAUUGGCACUGUCCAAAUCCUCCCUACUCUGUUAGUUAAAUUUGUCCUUUAUGUGCCUGGAUGCCCAUUUAAUUUAAUUUCUAUCAGUCGAUUGACUCGUUCUCAUGACUGUGUUGUCACAUUUACUAAUUGCAAUGUUACUUUGCAAGACCGAAUAUCAGGACGACAAAUUGGUGUCGGAUGUGAGUCUAAUGGUCUUUAUUAUCUCUCAAACCCAUCAACAGCGUGCCCUACCACAUAUUCUCCUCUUACUAUACAUGCUCAGUUAGGUCAUCCGAGUCUUCCCAAACUUCAACAAUUAGUACCUAAUCUAACCAAAAUAUCUAGCUUAAAUUGUGAGUCGUGUCAAUUAGGGAAACACACUCGUAGUCAUUUCACUGAUCGAGCUAAUAAACGAGCUUCCUCCCCAUUUGCUUUAGUUCACUCAGAUGUUUGGGGUCCCUCUCGUACUAUUUCCACACUUGAGUCUAGAUAUUUUGUUACCUUUAUCGAUGAUUUUUCCCGUUGUACGUGGUUAUUUUUAAUGAAAAAUAGGUCUGAAUUAUUUUCUAUUUUUGAACAAUUUUAUAAGGAAAUUAAAACUCAAUUUGGUGUAUCCAUUCGCACUUUGCGCAGUGAUAAUGCCCGUGAAUAUUUGUCCCAUCAAUUUCAAAAUUUUAUGACCUCUAACGGCAUUCUUCAUCAAACAUCUUGUGCUCAUACACCUCAACAAAAUGGGGUAGCCGAACGCAAAAAUCGGCACCUUAUUGAAACCACUCGUACUCUCCUUCUUCAUGGUAAUGUACCAUCUCGCUUUUGGGGCGAUGCUGUUCUAACGGCGUGCUAUCUUAUAAAUCGCAUGCCUUCGUCUGCUCUUGAUAACAAAGUCCCUCACUCGAUCCUCUUUCCUGGUACCCCUCUUCACUCACUUCCUCCUCGGGUCUUCGGAUCUACAUGUUUUGUCCACAAUCUCACUCCUGGUCUUGACAAACUUUCAGCUCGAUCAUUAAAAUGUG